GGCUGUGAGCACCAUGGCCUGGACUCCUCUGCUCCUCGCGCUCCUCUCUCACUGCACAGGGUCCCUCUCCCAGAUUGUGGUGACUCAGCCGCCCUCCCUCUCUGCAUCUCCGGGAGCCACAGCCAGACUCACCUGCACCCUGAGCAGUGGCUCCAGUGUUGGCAGCUAUGGCAUUUCCUGGUUCCAGCAGAAGCCAGGGAGCCCUCCCCGGUACCUCCUAUGGUAUAAAUCAGACUCAGAUAAGCACCAGGGCUCCGGGGUCCCCAGCCGCUUCUCUGGAUCCAAAGACGCCUCGGCCAAUGCGGGGGUCCUGACCAUCUCGGGGCUGCAGCCUGAGGACGAGGCCGACUAUUACUGUAAAUUAUGGGACGGCAGCUCUUCGAGUCACACAGUGGUGCAGACCCACAGGGAAGUGAGACAAAAAACUCCUCUCCGCUCUCCUGGCCUGACCUUGGCCCCUGCUCCGGCUCCGCCCAGUUCUGGCUCAGCCGUGACUAGGGUCCGACAUGCGGAAGGCACCGCACAAGUGGCCGAAGCUAAAGGCGCCGCCAGGGCGGCCCUGAUGCCUCGCCGCGGGGGAGCUGUGAACGCGUCCUGCUCGCAGCAGCCAGGCCCCUUAGUUCGCAGGAGCCGGUGCCUGAGGCCCCAGCCCAUGGAGUGA